rnacentral:lncRNA from 1 species
AUCCCAACAGUACAUAAUCCAAGGGCUAAAAAAUUGAAAGCUCUUCUACACUUUCGAAAACAUAAUGGCUCUAUACUGAUAAUAUUAUUAUUAUAUUUUAAAUAUUAAUUAUUAAACUCUAAUAAUUAUUAUCAUUAUAUUCAGAACUUUUACUCAUCUGUAUGCAUAAAUAUAUAUAUAUAUACCAAUACGUCGACAACAUAAUAGAAUAUUCAAAACUGGCGUAUCCC